AAUCAACGCUGGCGGCGUGCCUCAGACAUGCAAGUCGAACGAUUAAACUUUCCUUCGGGAAAGAUAUAAAGUGGCGCACGGGUGAGUAACACGUAGGUAAUGUACCUUUGGGUGGGGAAUAACCAUCGGAAACGAUGGCUAAUACCGCAUAAUGCAGCGGCAUCGCAAGAUGACAGUUGUUAAAGAUUUAUCGCCUAAAGAGCAGCCUGCGGCAGAUUAGGUAGNGGUAAGGUAAUGGCUUACCAAGCCUGCGAUCUGUAACCGACCUGAGAGGGUGGUCGGUCACACUGACACUGAAUAACGGGUCAGACUCCUACGGGAGGCAGCAGUCGGGAAUUUUGGGCAAUGGGCGAAAGCCUGACCCAGCAACGCCGCGUGAAGGACGAAGUCUUUCGGGAUGUAAACUUCGUAAGAAUAGGAAGAAUAAAUGACGGUACUAUUU
rnacentral:rRNA from 1 species